rnacentral:lncRNA from 1 species
GACUACUCUUCCAUCAUUUCCACAAACAACUCCCUCCAUUUCCAAGUUUCAUAUCUUAGAAAACCGAACUCCUCAAAAGCAGAGAAUUUUCUUUUCAUUGCUAUCAGAAAAAGAAAAACCGAGCAACAUGGCAGAGAGGACUCAACAGGCUUAUCCUUCGGCACCAGCAAACCAUGGUUACCAAAGAAGUGAUGCAGAGUCUUUGGAAGAUGCUGAUGAGCUGAAACGCAAGAAGAAAAUCAAAAUGGCCAUAUAUAUUGGUAUUUUUGUUGUUUUUCAGAUCAUAGUUAUUACCACAAUGAGUCUCACUGUGAUGAAAGUUAAGACCCCCAGGUUCAGGCUAGGCAACAUCAACGUCCAAAGCUUUGAAUCUGUCCCAGCAACGCCUUCAUUCGACACAAAAUUCACAACCCAAAUCAAGAUCAAGAACUCAGCCAACUGGGGUUCCUACAAGUUCAAUGCUGCCAAUGUGACGUUUCAAUACCAAGGCGAGACUGUGGCAGUAAUUAAUAUCGCAAAGGGCAAGGCUGGAUGGCUUUCGACCAUAAAAAGAAAUGCGGAGGUGAGUUUGAAUUCAAGUGGAAUAACUGGUUCAAAUCUUGGCAGCGAAUUGAGCAGCGGGGUGUUGACGCUCAACAGCGUAGGCAGAUUGAAUGGAAAAGUUGCAAUUAUGUUCAUAAUGAAGAAGAAGAAGGCUACCAACAUGAACUGCACCAUAGCUUUUGAUGUGGCAGCCAAGACGCUCAAAUCUUUACAAUGCAAAUGAUUAGAUUUGCGAGAUCAAGAUUGGUUCUUAAUUCGUCAUUUGUUAUUAUUUUGCCUUUGUGUACAACUUCGAUUUGUUUUAUAUGAUUGAAUAUAGAAACAGAUGCUACUUAUCUUCUUCUUAAUCGAGUCCAAUCACGAAAUUCUACUAGAACUACAUAAUUUUGAACACUUACGAGACAGAAGAAGCGUGAAACCGACUUAUAUAUGUUGGAUUUGAUUGACG